GUGGUUAUAGCUCAGCUGGGAGAGCGUUAGACUGAAGAUCUAAAGGCCCUGCGUAAGUGCCUCUGGACACUGUGAGUACGAGAGCACUCGUUCUAACAGAACCUUCAUAGGUUCGAUCCGCAGUAACCACA
rnacentral:tRNA from 1 species